AGUCGGCCCAAUAUAGGUCAAUGACGAUUUUCAAUAGGUUAAGGAAUGAGAAACCCAGGAGACACGAAGAACAGAAUGCAGGGGUAUAUAGGAUACCAGUGGAAAUAGUUGAACCCAAAGAAAAAACAGCCUAUAUCGGUGUCACUAGUAGAAAUUUAGGGGAAAGGUUGUAAGAACACAGGAGAGAUAUUAGUAAAGGCAAUCUUAACACAGCGCUUGCCAUGGAAGUUUACGCUAAAGAUAUAAAAGUACAUUGGGAUGAAGCAAAAAUAAUAAAACCAGUGGUGAGGAAGUCCCAGACCAUGCUGACAGAAGCCAUAGAAAUAAUUAAAGAAAAGAAAAAACAUAAAACACUUAAUGAGAACACGACAGUCGAAGUAACACCUCCAUGGAUGUACCUACUUAAUAUACAGAAUGGUAGGAGCAAGGAAUGACAGCACAUGGCAACAUUGACAAAGACAUAGGGAACUACAUUUAAACGUAUGAAGAUCCGAUUGUAUAGAAGUACGGACUAUUUAAAGGAAUUUUUCCGUCUCAAAAAAAUGAACUUUAUAACAUUUUAGGUGUAUUUUUAUAUUUAUAUUAUAUUAAAAUACAUUUAUACUAUAUUUCUAUUUAUGACAUGCAUUUUGACAACAAC
rnacentral:lncRNA from 1 species